rnacentral:lncRNA from 1 species
GGUUCAGAGACUAGGAUUUGCCCUCUGCACAUCAGCUAAUUGCUUUCAAAUCUUGAAUAUAGAGCUUCUAUAUGAGACUACCUUCACAUCUUGAAUAUAGAGCUUCUAUAUGAAACUAGUACGAACCUAUUUUUAAAGUCCAGUUAAUUGAUGUCCCCAGAUCCAUCUUCACUCUUCGAGUCACUUAGCAUAGGCAUGAAUGCUGCAAGAAGAACAGCAACCUUGUUUGCUAGGAACCCUGCGGUGCCAACAAAGAGCUCCGUCGGUGUGAGUUCAAAGCUAUCACCUCCAGCACCAUACUUCAGUGCAACUGCGCCUGCAACCAGUACUAGUGAUAGUAUCAACCAUGGCCUCCUUACACCACUGAAACCUGUUACCGAGGGCUGUGCACUGCCAGCUUCUGAAGGUGAAGUGAUCACAGGCAAACCAUCAACUGAUCUUUGGAGCAGCAACAGAUAGAGGAACCCACCAAUGCCACCUAUCAGGAACGAAUAGGCGGCGCUAUCAUUGGAAGCCAAGGUGAAGGCGGAGAAGCCAGUGAUCACUAUAGAUGCAUCAUAGAGCAGCAGAGAUUGUUUGAGGUCAGCAUACUCUCUCAACCCAUCCUCUCUUAGUUCCUUAACGCUUGAAGCUUUGCUUUCUGAGGAUAACAACCCUUCUUGAAGAUCGGAAAGGCCGACUCCUGAGAGGUCAGUGACAGCCACAGGCCUUGCUUCAGCUACUGAAGCUCCAUCAUCUCCAAGAAGCUCAUUUAUUUUCUCAAAAGUGUACUGCAAACCAUUGAACUUAUGUUCAGGAGUUCCAUUAAUUUCUUUAGGUGGAUCAACCGGUCCAUGUAUUACUUUCAAGCUCAAACCAUCUAAUCUCCAUGAACCUGACCUUCAAGGAUAAGAUUGAUAAACAAAGGAUAGAAAACACUCAUCAGGUGAACAUACUGCCAUUACAUUAUAUUUGCAAAGAACAUGAAAUGGGAUGUACCUGAUUCUAGACCGAUCCAGACUUCUUUAAUCCUUUUCAGUUUUGAGGCCUUGAAAGUGACAACAUCAACUGAACCACUUUGGAAGGGUAUCAGUUGCGCUGUCUUAAUUCCAAGUGUAGGUUGACCCAAAUAGAUUGCCGGUACUCUUUGUAGCAAGGAGUCACCAUCAACAUCAAUCAAGCAGAUUAAGAUUGCAGAAUUUUUCUCCAAAGAUGAACUAAAUUCUCUACUUGUGCUAAGCUCCAGCAUAUAGAACGAAUCAGCGUCAUCUAGUAUGAUUGUGUUAAAUAUCUCCUCAGGAACAGUAUUGGGAUAUGUCUUUAGUUCCUCUGCUGGAAGAAGGCGUGAAGGCUUUACAGAGGGCACCAGAUCUGCAGAGUUGAAGGAACAAUGGUCAGUUGGUCACUGAAUGGUGUGGAUACAAUGGUAAAUUUUCACAACCAACAAACAGAGCUUUCAUGGUGUCAAUAGUAAAAUAAAAUGAGAAAUUAAAUAGGAGAAAACAAACUACAACUACAUUGCAGCCGGUAAGUGAAACAUUAAUAUGAUUCCUUGUGGAAGCAGAAACAGUUGCAUACAACUACGCAAUAUGAAUGCAUACUAUAUUGAUGGGUAUAUUACAAAGAACAAUCACAUAGAAAUACAUUGUUUACCAGGGCAAAGAAAUAAGCUUGGAGCGACAACAUCAAAAGUCUGAUCAGACAGUACCUUGAAAGGAAGACCCCUUGGAGAAGCAAGGCAUCCUCUGAUGUUUGUUUUGUCCUUUUGGUUUCAUUCUGUCUGGAAAGACAUGGCAAUACAUUCUCGAGCUAUUGUUCAGCAGCAACCAUCUGGGCAGAAAAUUACGGUGAACUGAUGGACGGUGAACUGAUGGAGCAACACACCCUGGAGAGAGGAUCACCAUUCUCUGUAGAAAUGAUAGCAAAGCAGACGUAUUAGCUGUAGCAAACAGGGGUGCAGAUAGCUCUGAUACACUCGUUACCAACAUAUUAAUUUAAAUAUCAAUGCAUACACAGGAUUUAAAGCCCAUCCACAUUUCGUGACUGAACCUUCGGGAGCUGAAGUACAAAGUACAAACUAAUUAAGGACCACAAAAAAAAUCAAAGGCACCAUUAAAACUGUGAGAUCAGCGGGCAGGGGGGCAGAGGAUACAUGUGAAGGUAGCAAAUGGCCACCCGUGCACUAGUAUUUAAUCAUGGGAUAGCAAGGAGCAGAAUUAUGCCUAACAAACAAAUCAAAGAUAAUAACAUAACUGAACUGCGAUAACAGCAUGUCAGCAUGGACAGGAUUUGUCACUAUUAGAAUAGCACACCUAAAGUGAAGGCAAAAUAACCUACCAUAGAUCAUGUCCUAUUCCUGCUGUCCCAUAUGGCAGUGGUACACAAACGAAUAAGCUAGGUUGCAAGAAACAAAUUUUUUACGCCAAGCUUGAUGCUGAUAAUACUAGUUACCAAUGUAUUAAAUAUCAAUUUUUUUCUCGAACAUGCAAGAGAGCUGGGUAUCAUUGUAUUAAGAAGAAAAAAUGGAUAAGAACACAUACAAGGCACAACCACUAACACCACUAUGUCCAAAUUAAACAAACUAGCCCUUGACACACAAAGUAGGUGACCUCAACCCAAAAUUAACUCCAUAUUCAGCCCCUAGGAAAUGAGAUUAUUGAUACCUGUGCCCCUGCCAAGCUCCAAUAAAGAAGCCCCUCACUAGCGAGCAACAGAGCUGUAGCUAGGUUUGGAGAUUCAGCAUCAAACACACAACAAUUACGAAUAUUCCACGCUCCUAGAAUAAUGAUGGAGUUGAGUCCCUUUCUUAAGUGAACAACCACUGCAUUUUAACUUCCGUCCCACCAAUCAUCAAACAAAGUCUCAUCAGACUAGGGGGUAAGCAUUUCUAAGCCACACUUUACACAGGAGGAAUAACCAGAAUUCACAAGCAAAGACGUAUUAAAUAGCAAUGGCUCAAUGCAUACAGCAUUCAAAGCUGACAUUUGGUGACCGAACCUAUAGGGGAGCUGAAGUACUAAACUAAGCACCACAAAGAAAUCAAAGGCGUCAUUUGUUUUUGUUCCAUAUUAGAGCAAAACUAUGAGACGAGCGAGGGCAGAGCAUACAUGUGAAGGUAGCAAAUGGCCACCCGUGCAAUAGUAUUCGAUCAUGGGAUGGCAAGGAGCUGAAGUAUGCCUGGCCAAGAAAUCAAAGAUACUAACAUAACUGAACUACAAACUGUGAUACCAGCGUGGACACGGUCACCAACCAACUCUGUAACCCACUAUUCGAUUAGUAAAACCAAAAUCACCUAGUACCAUAUGUCGAACAAGCAAAGGUCGUAACAAAGAAUUAGACUUAAAAAUUCGUGGCCAUAAUAGAGCCUGCCUUACCGGAGGUAGGAGGAAUUGGCUGAGGCGCGGAUGUGGGAGAGAUCUCUACCCGGCGGCGCUCCAGUCCACAGGAGGAGACGAGGAGGGCGAGGCCGUCGGAUUCCGUGGAGCUGGUGGCGUGUGCUCCGCUUCUUCGUGGAGGGAGGCAAGAGGCGUGCCGCGUUGGAGUUCGGCGGUGGCGAGGAACACGUGGGAGAGGGGACGGAGUCGCGGUUUCGCGGACAGCUACCAUUGCGAGGGUGUUUUCGGGAUUUCGUGGCUUGAUAUUUCGUGCGGACAGCUACCCUGGCGCCCUGACGCAACCGGGCACAUACUGCCACAGCGGGCCCUCGGCGCGGCCCGGCACGGCCGCCGGCGCUGGCCCCUGCACGGCUAAGGUCUACAUGCUGGACGUUGCUUAUCUAUACCGUUGAAUAUGUGUAAAACAAUAGGGAGAAGUGUGAACACAGUUAGAAGAAGUGCAGCAGCACGAAUCUCAGAGCACAUUUGGAUGGUCCAGAUAAGCAAUGUUGAGCAUGUACAUGCUGCAUUAUAUUACUGAACGCAGGGCACGGGCAAGCCCCGAUGCGGCGCGCGGCCCUAGAGCGGCCACAGCCGUCGGCGCAGGCACGGCCAUUGGCAAGGGGCGCGGCCUGCCCCCAUGGCUACCUCCUCCUCUCUUUAUUCCUGCACAACGCCCAGUCCUCAAAUUAUGCCCCUAAAAUUCUAUUCGCAUGCUGGACUAAAAAAAUAAGAACCCAAAAUUGCAUUCAACUCCAGCCCAACACCCUCGGCAAAUUGAGAUGCGUCGGUGGGGUGGAGACCGGCACGUGCACGAGCUGCGGCUUUGCUCCCCUUGGCAGCAGAAGGCAGCCGGCGAGGGCGUCGGACGGCGGCCCUCCUGCUCUACACGCUGGCGCGCGGCGGCCCUAUAGCGGCGGCGGCCCUCGAGCGCGGCCCAGCGUUGCGGCUGCAUGGGCGGCGUGGCGGCACGGGGCCGGGCGGCAACGGCGGCAGCGCGGUUCUGUCGUGCGCUACCGUGUGCGGGGUGGGGUGGGGAGGGGGGAAAGUGGGGUGUUAUUGUUAUUGUUGUUGUUGUUGUUGUUGCUGCUGCUGCUACUGUUGCUGCUGUAUUUAAAUUCCACAUAUUUAUUUUAUUACAAUUCUUAAUAUUUAAUUAUAAAGUAAUCUUGAAGAUUACACCUAUAUUAAGACGUAAUACUAAAAAUUACGCAUCGACAUCUACUAAUCCUGGAGUUUAAUUGUGCGGGCAUGUUGGACAUCGCAAAGAGAGAUUUUGAGAUGCUCGCCGUGAAUGGCAGCAACUACCUCACUUGGACGACCGACAUCAAGAUCAGACUCGAUGGCAUGCACCUUGUUCAUACCAUUGUCUAGCCUGAAGCUGGCAAGGAUGAGCACACAAAGCAAGACAAGACGAGGGCGUUGCACUACCCGCGACACUACUAACGGUUGAUAAGUGUUACUUUUAACCACCAACUAAACAUGCAUAAAUGCUCAUAAUGAAAUAUAUGUAUAGGAUAGGGGUUCAAUCGAUAGAGUUCCACGAGUUUUGGUAUAUGUGUGUUUUUCAAGGAUUAAACAGGAAAAUAGGAGAAGAUAUAGUGGACGUCGGUGUAAAAGUCAUAUUCCAACGUAAUCCUGAGAGAAGAACGUUAUAGAGAAUACCAAAGGUGAGACUCUGCAAAGAGGUGCCCACCAGGCAUAGGGCCAGGUCGGCGGACCUAGGGGCUAGGGCGGCCGACCCAGCCUGGCCCCACCUAGCGUGGCCUUCUCUCACAUUCCUCCACCAACCUCAAGGAUUGAUCUCCACCAUUGUUUAAGUCGGUUUGAUCCAAUGGCCCAUGUUCAUUCCACAGGGCUAUAAAUACCAAGCCCUCUAGAUGAAAGCAUUCUCCUCUAAGUUGAAACCCUGAUUCUGCUUCUACGUCAAGAGUUCCUAUAUAGAGAAUCAAGAGAAGCAUUGAGAGAAGAUUAGUCUUGUAGUGCACAAGUGAUUAGGGCUAGUCUUAUUUAGAAAUAGAGAGAUAGAGUGUUGGGAAGAGUUCGGGAAAGCUUCGGCUUGUUGGUGGCUCCUCUUCGGCUUGUACCUACGGGAUCAAGUUCCAUUAACUCUGGAGCCUCCUUGUGAGAGUCUUUUAGUAUUCAACUUCUAAUUCAAGUAAGUUCGUUGUUAUUAUUAUUCAUUUGGUUUACGACUAGUAUGAAUUCUAGGAAUGGAAGCUUUUAAAGACAGAGGGAGUAUGAUAUUCUAGGAAUUGAAGCUUUCAAAGAUAGAGGGAGUAUGAUCUACUCACUAUUUUUCUAGGUUGUUUUUAUAUUUAUUUUGGCUAAAUCUUUGAAAAAAGUAAAUUAUAGAAAACAUAAAAUAGAAAGUCUAAUUUUAUUGGAUUCCACAUGAGUAAAUCUAUAUAGUAAACUUUUGAUAUGAUAUGAUAUACUUUAGUAUAAAAGUUUUGCUCUAGCUUUAGAUCUAUGCUUUUCUAUGAUUAUUUCGUAGCUGCAGUUUUUGUAGUCUGAUGAAAUUUUUAUGGUGUACUAGUCAUUGUAUGCUUGAGAUGUUGUAAAAAUUUCACGCUCAUUGAAUCCUGCAUGUCCGAUAGAUUUAUUCAAGUUUAUGCUUAUUAAAUAGUUUUUAAAAUGGUUAAAAGUGUGUAAAAUUAGAAAACAUGUGUUCUCUAUGUAACAUUACUAUUUUUAUAUCUUAUUAACACUUAAAAUAAUCAUGUUAUCAUAGAGAAAAUUACACUAAGAACAUACAUUUUCUAUUUUUACACACUUUUAACUAUUUUUAAACUAUUUAAUAAGCAUAAACCUGAAUAAGUCAAGAGUUCCUAUAUAGAGAAUCAAGAGAAGCAUUGAGAGAAGAUUAGUCUUGUAGUGCACAAGUGAUUAGGGCUACUCUUAUUUAGAAAUAGAGAGAUAGAGUGUUGGGAAGAGUUGGGGAAAGCUUCGGCUUGUUGGUGGCUCCUCUUCGGCUUGUACCUAUGGGAUCAAGUUUGCUGCUUAUAUUUCACUACCUCCCCGUGUCAGGAUUGGGUUUUGCUCGCCUGUUUGUAUGAUUUGGGAGCGGAAUUAAAUCAUAAGCAGGAGGAUACAGUGUCUGAUAAGAAUAAGUAUUAACCUUAUGUUUUAUUCCAAACUGGUCUCUCAUGACCUCUGCUAUCUUAUCGGCCCAAUAGGCAUCGGCAUCCUACCGAUGUGCGGGUUGAAUUUCUGGCACCUGCUGAUAAGCUUCCACGUGUCUCUGGGGUACACAGUCUCCAAGAAACAUUACAUUGGCCAUAGCUUGUUGACCACCAACCUGUUGAGCGAGAUUCAUCGGCUGAUUUACUGGUCCUUGAUUCUGAAAACCGACUUGCAUGUGUCCUUGCUGGAAUCCCGCAGCCUGAUGAUUCUACUAUGUCACAUGUGGAAAGAACAACUGCUCUGUCCAACCAUUAUUGGCGUUCAUCGGCAUAUGUCCUACCGAUGGUUAAUAAUUAGUUGUCAUUGCUGGAUUGGCAUAACCUGUUUGAGUCACAAACCUCGGUUGAGUUGGCAACGGAUUUGCCGAUGAAUUUGCAUUAGGCAUCUGGAAUGUCGGCAUUUGAAAAUUCCCUGUAAUAGGUCUUGCAGUAGUAGUUGUUGAAUACUGAAGAAUUUGAGUCAUCGGCGAAACUAGGGGUGCUGAUGUCAUAGGAGCCUUCCCUGCUAAGUCAGUUACCUGAGAUGUUCCAGAACAAAAAACUCUGGAGGCAUACCAUAUCCCCACCAAUUGAGAGGAACUUGAUAAUUCUGAAACACAGACCCUGACAUUGCCGAUGUCGAUAAAUCUGUGUUGAGCUGAACCCGUCCCCCUAAUGUCAUUGGAUUAGGUCUCAUCGGUGUAGAUUGCUCAUUAGUCAACCCUAUUGUGCUUGGAGGAGAAGUAGCUUGUGUACCUGCAACGGCUGGAAGAGCCGAUGGAGCUGUAUCCGAUGACAAACCUGACUGAUGAUAGGUCAGGCCAGCAUAUAGUGGUGGUGUCUGUCCUUCUUUAAAAGUUCUAGCCACAACAUUGUAAACAGUAUUGGCCAGCACAUUGGAGUGAUUAAUCAAGGCACGAUUAAUAGCAUUAUCAACCAUGUCUUGCAAUUUACCAUGAUUGGGAUCAAAAGUAACCUACCGAGGCAUCGGCAGCUCUUGCUUCUGGAUAACAUCCCCGCUCCUGUUGACGCUAAAGGACUUCAAGCAAAGCUGCUUGUAUUCCUCCAUAGCCCUCUCCAUAGCCUGCUUCUGCUUGUCCCUGAGAUCGGCUUCUGUCACAACAAUGACAUUCUCCGUGUCGAGAUCAACAGUAGCCAUGUUGAUUUUGUUGAUAGAUUGGUCCCACUAGGCAUGCCAAAAUAUGUGUUGAUGCAAAAAUAGAUCAGCAAACAUAAAGGGCUAAUACUCAAUUCAAACGUUGAGGUGUGCCAGCCGAUUUGACCUAGCAAUCAACAAAGGUGAUAACUUGAAUACUUUGGUCCCGACAACAGCGAUACGCCCGAAUGACAUGGCCAAGAGGUACUCACGCGGAACUCGAGAAUUCGCCGAGUGUUGCUCGAUGAAUCCUUAAGAACUCGUAAAGAAAAGAAAAUGUGCAGAUUGACGAAGUCGUCGAAAAAGUAGAUGUAAUAGUAGAUGUAAAAACUUGUGUAUGAUAUUUAUUAAUUGUCCUCCUUACAUCGCUACUAGGCUUAUAUUUAUACUCUGUCCUAAAGAGUUACAACCGUAUAUGACUAGGAUUUAAUUCUAAACUAAACAGGACUCUUACGUAAGGCAAACUCUAACAAAUAUGGAAAAGAAACACCUAUCUAUUCUGGUAAUCAGCAUAUCACUGUUGCCUUCCUAGCAACUCCCACAUCUCCCUUCAUCAUCAUCGGCAUACUCCUUGUAUCCUUUCAUCAUCAACGGCAUAUUCCCUGUAUCCUUACCAACUCCCAUACCUUUCCUCAUCGGCAUCAGCAAUCAUCAACAUCGGCAACCAAUCAGUAAUGAUCAAUGGCUACCGCCAAGCUUAGCAACAUCUUCCACCCAUCAUCCAGUCAUCAACAUCAUUAGCUAUCGACAAUCUUCUCACCAACUAGACACAACAUCUCCUUGACUGCCGAUUAAGUUUCACUGACUACCCCGACUUGUGCCCAAACAACGGUGUCAACAAAACCGGACUUGGAAGCUUAGGCAAAUCAACAUAGUUUAAGUCUACAAUUAGAAGCUCAUGAUGCUUAGAGUACAAGAACAAGACAAAAAUGCAAAUGAAUAUCUAGACUUAAAUGUUUCUUCAAGUGAUAUCCAACAAAUGGUACUCAUGAUGAUAAUAGCAAAUGUUCAAGAUAGCAAACAAGUGGUUCCAUACUAGAAGACCUUUAAUUGAUAGAAGAUUUUCAUUUGGUAUUGGACAAGGUCUUCCAAAUAAUAUCACAUCUCUACAUGUGGUAUCUAUCAUACAAGAAGGUGGUUCCACAAGUGAUCCUCAACUUUAAGUGACCAUCAAGAGAAGAAAAGUUCCCUCACCAAUAAGAUUGUCAAGUGAAUGACCCAUGCUAUGACAUAGGGGGAGGUUCCCCACCAAAUGGUAUCAAGGUCAAAGAUCCUAUGUGGUAUCUCAAGAGCAAUACAAAUGAUGUCAUUCCAACACAUAUGGUUAUGUCCAUAAAAAAUGCAAGAUUCAAGCCUCAACCAUCUACCUCAUAUGCAAUCAUUUGUCACAAUGAGAUGCACACUUUUUCAAUUGGUGUCAAGUGAUUUAAUUGGUAUCACAUACUUUUUAUAGAAAUUGAUGACAAAGGGGGAGAAAUUUGUGCAAAGAUAUAAAAUAUGGGAAGUUGGUUUAAACAUGGACAUGGACAAAGAGGGAACAACAUUAAGGAAAAGAGAUGGAUCAAAAUUCUUGGACAAGAGAAGCACACAAGUAGGAGGAGCAGGCUCAUGAACCUUGUUUUUUUGCAUUUGAUAUGUGUAUAUUCAUGUGCUUGCUUACAUUGCAUAAGUUUUUAAAUUCUAUAUGCAUGUUUGUGUGGUGUAUGCUAGUUAUAGAACUUGAUGAAUGAUAUGAUAACUAGCAUGCAUAGGUUGGUAACUAGACUUGUCUUCAAAAGGUAAAAACUAGACCCUUGCUUAUAAUGUUGAUCUCAUAGGGUUUCUAGUGUUUUUGUUGUCUAGCUACUAAUGGUGCUAAGGAUGGUGUACAUUGAAUACUUCAAAUGAUAUCGAAUUUGGUUUCAAGCUACAAAGGUUUAUUCUAUACACCUUAGCACUUAGUAGGGUUUUAUGGUGCUUAUCCGAAUCUUGAUAUAGAGCUUAAAUGUUGGAUAAGUAGCAUAAAAUCCAAAUCAAGUUAGCAAUUUACACUUGUGUGAAGUGCUAGCUUGAAAAAGCUUAAUUUCCAUAUCUUUGUAGAGUUGUCAUCAAUUAACAAAAAGGGGGAGAUUGAAAGGUCCUUGUUUGGUUUUGGUAAUUGAGUGACAACUUAAGUGGACUAAUAGUAUUUAUGUGAGAUACAUAGGAGAUUAGUCCACAGGUGAUUACGUAAUGAUGAAGGAGCUCAUUGCAUAUGAGACAUGACAUGGAGUCAUGUGACCAAGGUGGAGAAGAUCAAGAUGAGGCUUGGCUCGAUGGACUGGUUGCAAGAGUGAAGGGCAAGUCGGAGGCUUUGAAGUGAGGGACCGCGUGUGACGGUGAAGCUUGAGCAAGACUUGGCGCUGAUGGACCAAGGCAACGGUGAAGAGCAAGUGAGGUCAAGAUCGAUGAACCAAUACAGUCAUGUGAUGAUAUGAACUGGAUCAUAUAAUUUGGUGAUUCGUUGCUACAUGUGUUGCAUCAACAUUGUAGGAGAUAGAAUGGAAAGCGCAAGGCAAAGGUAUAACCUAGGGCAUUUCCAUUUCACUGGUCAUAAGUGUGUAGAGAAGAUCACAACAGAUGGUGUUAGCACAUUCGGCGCUUUUGAGAAAAUGAAACGCAUAUUUUCUAUUGCAUCGGUGGGAAUUUUGGAGAAGUUAUGGGAGUCACCGGAGAGGCACCAGACGCUACACCGUGUGUCCGGUGCGCUCUCGGUUUCAAGCACUGUUAACGCUAAGCACCGAACGCGGGCUAGAUUCUGUUCAUGCGUCCGGUGUGGCUUGACUUCAGCAGGUGCUUCUCACUAAGAGCACCAGACGCUCAGGGAGUGUCCGGUGGUGUGAGUCCAGUGACCCUGCGAGUUUGUUUUGCUCUUUGCGUACAGGUCCGAUGUGCACAGGACACAUCCGGUGUGGACCAGCAGAGCGUCCGGUGUGGCUGGUGCAGGCACAUGCAUGUGUUAGCCAUUGGCGGCAACGGUCGAGUUCAAAUGGCUUACGAGAAUCCUGCAAACUUGUUAGGAGCAACUGCAAAGAAUCACGAGCAAAGCAAGGGUUUACUCAGCCUUUAUAUUCUCUAAAAUCUCUAAAAUCAUUAUUAAAGCCCCAUGUGAAUCUCGGCUUAGCUACAAGGCCCAUGAUUAGCAGGGCGUAAAAUACAAGAGGAAAACCCCAAAUCGGCAGCUCUACUUGGCGUUGCAGGUCGAGUCCGGCAGAUAGCAGUAGUAGUAGGUCGGUUCCGUUUAGUACCACAUCGCCUAUGUUAGCGAACGCACGUCUCCAACGAUGUAUAAAAGUAGGCUGUGGGCUAAUGCUCCAACUCAUCUUUGCGCUUGGGGCAAUGACGCAGCUCAUGAGGUAUUACCGAGGCGCGUCAAUUGCUGGUUGAAAACUAUUUCCAAACCCCCUCAGCGCGGCCCACCAGGGCGCCAGAGAAUUUCUGGAAGGGCUCCCUCUAACCAGGGUAAAGCCCACAAUUGACUGAAAAUUUUAGAGGCCUUACAGUUGCUAAGCAAUCAGCAGUUCGUAACUGGAAAUAAUUGUUUUGGCUGUUUCAGCUGUUUUAUCAAAGCAGCUUAGAUAUGACUUUAUCAUAGAGUCUAAAUAAGAUUUGGAGUCUUAUUUUUUCUACUUCUUUCUUUAAUAAAUAUGAUUUUACAUCAGUAAAAUACCAUAAAUUAUUUUGUACUCUGUAAUAGAGUCUUGUAUUGGAUGCUCUGGGAUGCUCUUAGCCUUCGUUAUUGUACAGUUUCCCAGAGUACUCUGACAAAACGGACAGGAAGGUGAGCAAACUUACGUCAGUGAAAAGGAUGCCGGCGACACCUGCCAUAGCGAACCGGCAGUGCACGAGCUCGGCCUGAACGUACCACUUCAAGCUUGCCGGAUCCUCGCCGAGGCCCAAGGGAUCGAAGCCGAAGUCACCUGGUAGUCUGCAACAAAUCAUCAGAGAUAACUACUCCACUGUCAGCUGACGAACAUCCAUCGCCCGCAGAGAAAUAAGCACCGCAGAUAUCAGAGCAGUCAGAAAACCGACGUGCCGUCGAGGUGAGGAGGCGGGUCCAGUCCGGGCAACCAGGUCGGCCGCUGAGUGCCGGCGGCUCGGACGGCGACGACCCGAGCUCUGGACAAAUACAGCCGGGAAUGGUUGUUGCGUGCUUGAUGAUCUUGUCUUUUGGCCGGGGGUGUUGGACAAAAAGAAGCUCUCGGUUCUGGAUAUGGAAUUAGAGGCGUUCGUUGCUUCGUUCAAAGGCUGACGGGCUGUGAAGCUGAUGCCAGGGCGGAAAAGCGCAAAAAUGUGGUGGUUUGCCAGGCUCCGAUCUGAUAAGGCGAGGAGAACUUUUUGGGCCACACUAUCUGUGGUCUGUGGACUGGCACGAGCAUUCCAGCUACUGGUUGGUGGUAUUUUCUUCUUUUUGCAGGCUGAGACGUGAAGUAACAGAUGGGCCUCUGGCGGGCCGUGUUCCUCUGCAUUCAAUGGUUCGUUAGUUUUUUUUUCUUUUGUUUCGAAAAAAAAUUGGGUAAAUUUUUUUUUCAAGAAAUGUUUGGAAAGUUUAGCUUGAGAGAACAGAGUACAUGACAAGAAUUUGAGAGUGUAUGCCAACCAGGACUUACGGCCCGCAAUGGUUCGUGCAUAAAUGUGGUGAUAUUAAGUUUUUACAACUAUUCCAGUAUCUACUUUUCAGCACCACCCUUUUGAGUCCAUCACUCCUAACGCGGCGCCGCCUUCCAAGUUCCUGCUGAAGAAAGAGGGUGAAGAUGAAAAGGUGCCGGCGAUCCUAAACAAGGAGUACUCGGCGUGGAUAGCCAAGGACCAACAGGUCCUGAGCUAUCUGCUUGUUUCCCUGUCGAAGGAGAUCCUUCUCCAAGUCUCCAAUGCCACGACGGCGUCCGAGGUGUGGGCAGGCAUAGAAUCUUUCUUUGCCUCCCAAUCACGUGUGAAGAUCAUCAGCACCGGGAUGGCCUUGGGCAAUGCAUCCAAAGGCUCAUCCACCGUCGCAGAGUAUUACUCCAAGAUGAAAACACUCGCCAACGAGAUGGCAUCAGCGGGGCGUCGCCAGGAGGAUGACGAGUUUGUGCCCUACAUCUUGAAUGGGCUCGACGAAGACUUUGAUGCCGUGGUGACAGCGGUUGCUGCUAGGGUUGAACCCAUCACACCUGGUGAGCUUUAUACUAAGAUGAUUAGUCAUGAACAAAGAUUGGAACUGCGCAGUGGAGGAUCUCAGUCCUCUGUCAAUCUUGCGUCGUGCUGUGGUCAUGGCGGAGGGAAUCAGAAGGGUCUGCGCCCUGGAUCUGGAUCUGGUGGUAACAACCAUCAGAAUCAGAAGGGCGGGUGGAACAACAACAAUGCCAACAAAGAUCAAGCUCCUUUUUAGUAGGGUCUGAUUUGUCAGGUCUGUGGGAAGGAGGGACACCCUACAUAUCGUUGCUUCAAGAGGUUUAACCGAUCCUUCACCGGGCCACCGCAGAAGUCCGCCUCUGCCGCCACCUCGACAUAUGGAGUAGAUACCAACUGGUAUAUGGACUCCGAAGCUACUGACCACAUCACCAGCGAGUUGGACAAGCUGUCCGUCCGCAACAGGUACGACAGCGGCGACCAUGUUCACACCGCCAAUGGUUUAGGUAUGAAGAUUUCACAUGUUGGUCAUAGUUUUGUGCAAUCUCCAUCGCAUAAAAUUCAUCUAAAUAAUAUACUUCAUGUUCCUGAUGCUAGCAAAAGUUUAGUAUCUGUUAAUCGUCUCACACGAGACAAUAAUGUUUUUGUUGAGUUCCAUCCUGAUCAUUUUCUUAUAAAGGAGGCGGUGAAGAAGAACAUACUCCUCAGAGGCAAGGUUGAAGGAGGUCUCUAUCCUAUCGUGAGUAGGUCAUCACUAAAUAAGCAAGCACUUGGCGUCAUCAAACCGUCUUCCUCCACAUGGCACAGUCGGCCAGCUCCUCUAGUGGUUCAUCGAGUCCUUAGUCAUCAUAAUCUUCCCUUUGUUCAGGAUGAAAACAAUAAACAUGUGUGUGAUGCUUGUCAACAGGGCAAAAGUCAUCAAUUGCCCUAUCCAAAGUCCACUAGUGUGACUACUAGUCCUUUGGAUCUUGUUUUUUCUUAUGUGUGGGGGCCUGCACCAUCAUCUGUAGGUCUCUUUAGUUAUUAUGUGAGCUUUAUUGAUGACUACUAAAAAUUUUCUUGGAUUUAUUUGAUUCGCCACAAAUCUGAAGUUUUUCAACGCUUCCAAGAUUUCCAUAGCUUAGUUGAACGACAGUUUGAUAAAAAAUCCAAGCUAUGCAAACUGAUUGGGGGGAGAGUAUCAAUCCUUGAAUUCUUUUUAAAAAUGAAUUGGCAUUCAUCAUUUUGUUUCAUGUCCACAUGCACACCAGCAAAAUGGAGCCACAGAACGCAAACAUAGACAUAUAGUUGAGAUGGGAAUCACCCUGCUUGCCCAUGCAGCAAUGCCACUCAAGUUCUGGGAUGAAGCAUUCCAGACUGUUGUCUUUCUUAUCAAUCGAUUGCCAUCUAAAGUUAUUGACAAUGAUACACCCCUCCAUCGCCUCUAUAAACAAGAACCAGAUUAUAGCUUCCUUCGUACUUUUGGCUAUGCCGUUUGGCCAAACCUGAGAGCCUAUAACACAUGCAAGCUUCAAUUCCGCUCCAAACGUUGUGUAUUUAUAGGAUAUAGAAAUUCUCUCAAAGGUUUCAAAUGCCUAGACCCAAGUGAAGGCAGAAUUUACAUUUCACGAGAUGUCGUCUUUGAUGAAACUGUGUUUCCUUUUUCACAGUUACAUGCCAAUGCAGGGGCGCAAUUGCGUACUGAACUCCAAGUGCUCCCUCAAAUCCUUCUAAAUCCAUCUAUGUCUUUUGGAGAUGCACAUAUACAUGAUCAGCAUUUCACUUCUUCUGUGCCUGCUAAUGUUUCUUCUAGCUCUAUGUUUCAGUCUAUAGAAAAAACUUCCACACCAAACAGUGCCUGCAGCAGUGAACAUGGUGAUGCUGACCAGCCAUAUCGCAUGUGUCCCGUGCCGUCCGGACACACACAUGCCAAUGGUGAUCCACCGGUGGACACCACCAGCAUAGGCUCAAGAUCACCAUCGGGAUCCCUGCGGUCACCAGGCGUGGUGCCUUCUACAAUGAUCGCGCUGAUGUCCUCCUCUACACCUGCUGCCUCACCUGAUCCAAGCGCGGGGGAGCAGCUACUCGACUUGGCGACCGAAUCAGGUUAGCCACACUCGGAAUCAGUUGUGCCUGAGUCUGGUACGUCGCCUCCAGUGGCUUCGCACAAUCCGCACGAUUGGUUGCAAAAGGGUACAAAUAGAGGUAUGGAAUAGGCUACGAAGAUACUUUCAGACCUGUUGUAAAGGCAGCUACCAUACAAUUGAUAUUAUCUGUGGCAGUAACAAAGGGCUGGAGUCUUCGACAACUUGACGUUCAGAAUGCUUUUCUACAUGGGGUUCUGAAUGAGGAGGUAUAUAUGUAUCAGCCACCGGGAUAUGAGAACAAAGAGCAUCCAUGAUAUGUGUCUAAAUUCGACAAGGCCUUGUAUGGUCUAAAGGAGCCUGGUUUGCUCGGCUCAGUGCAAAGCUAGAGUCCUUGGGUUUUGUUUCUUCAAAGGGUGACACAUCCUUGUUCUACUAUAACAAGGGAAAAUUCAGCGUAUUCAUUCUUGUGUAUGUGGACGACAUAAUAGUUGCAAGUUCAUCGCCGGAGGCAACCAAAGCAUUACUCAGUAAUCUUCAGAAAGAUUUUGCUUUAAAGGAUUUAGGUGACUUACACUACUUCGUUGGAAUUGAAGUGAAAAGAACUCAAGACGGCCUAGUGCUUAGCCAGCAAAGAUAUGCAACCGACGUCCUCUCUAGAUCUAGAAUGAGCAAGUGCAAGGCCAUUGAUACACCGCUUUCAAGUACAGAAAAGUUAAGUGCUGCAGAGGGUACUGCUCUUGGACCUGAGGAUAGCACAAAAUACAGAAGCAUGGUUGGUGCAUUGCAGUACUUGACUUUGACAAGACCAGAUAUAGCAUUUGCUAUGAACAAAGUGUGUCAAUUCCUUCAUACACCUACGGUUAUUCACUAGAGUGCAGUCAAACGCAUACUUCGUUAUGUACAGGGAACAGUCAGUUUAGGACUAAAGAUUGGGAGAUCAAAGUCCAUGAUAGUGAAUGGUUUCUGUGAUGUCGAUUCGGCUGGUUGUGUGGAUGACAGAAGAUCAACUGGCGGCUUUGCCAUUUAUCUUGGUGAUAAUCUAGUCUCCUGGAGUGAAGCAACCCACAGUUUCAAGAUCUAGUACAGAAGCUGAGUAUAAAUCUUUGGUAAAUGCAACAGCAGAAAUGAUUUGGAUUCAGCAGUUACUAACAGAACUCGGUGUGAGUCAUUCACCUACUGCACGGCUAUGGUGUGAUAACAUAGGAGGAACUUAUUUAUUUGCUAAUCCAGUAUUCCAUGCUUGAACAAAACAUAUUGAAAUUGAUUUCCAUUUUGUCCGAGAAAGAGUUGCACAGAGGUUACUUGACAUCAGGUUCAUAAGUACUGAUGAUCAGAUAGCAGAUGACUUCACUAAGGCGUUACCUCAAGUGUAGUUGAGAGCUUUCAGAAACAAUCUCAACCUUGUUAGUGGCUGAGAUUGAGAAGGGGUGUUAAGAGAUAAAUCUCCUCCCUAUGUCUAGGUUCUUUGUAUCUAAUCAGAUCCUAGUCAUUAGCCUAGAUUAUAGGAACAGAUGUAUUCUAUGCAUGUAAUCAGUUGUAAUUGAUCUCCUGUACAUGCCACCGCCGUGGGGGCUAUUCCCCGGUCAAUAGAAACAUGCAACCGAGUAUGUCAAGGGCUUCAUACUCGUUAACCUAAAACUUUACAAUGGAAUUCUGCAGAGUAGAGUUCUAUGUGAUGCAUUAGCAUAGAUCAGAAAAAUCCGCAAGCGAUGCAUUAGCAUAGAUCAGAAAAAUCUAUCAUUGUUACCAGGGCCCAUGUGUCAGCCAGACAAACACGCACAUAACAUAACACAACAUCACAGCCCCGGGCCGGGCCUUCCCCAAACCAGAGCACACCUCUUGCUCUCGAAAAACCUGAAGCAAAAUAAUAAGAAGUCUACUUCGACUUCCUCAAGUAUCACAAAAAAAUCAGUUUCUCCACCCUGAAUUAGAAAAUCGGACAUAACUCUUCUUCCAUCAUUUCAAACCCGACAUAUGACCUCCCUUGCUGUUUGUCUAGGUGGAUUUUCUUUUGUUUCUUUUUAUAUUUAUUUUAGCCAAAUCUUUGAAAAAAUAAUAGUAAAUUACAGAAAAAUCAUGAAACAAAAACUCUAUUUUUUUAACUCCACAUAAAUAGUUCUACACAGUAAACAUAUGAUAUGAUAUGCUUUAGUACUUUUUGCUCUAACUUUAGGUCUAUGCUUUUCUAUGAUUAAUUCAUAGCUGCACUUUCUUUGGUCCUAUUGUGGUGAAGUUUUUCUGGUGCACUAAUCAUUAUAUGCUUGAGAGGUAGUAAAAGUUUCAUGCUGAUUGGAUCAAGUAUGACUGAGUUAUAGACUUAUUUAGGUUUAUGCUUAUUAAAUAGUUUAAAAUAGUUAAAAGUGUGUAAAAAUAGAAAAUGUAUGUUCUUAGUGUAAUUUUCUCUAUGAUAACAUGAUUAUUUUAAGUGUUAAUAAGAUAUAAAAAUAGUAAUGUUACAUAGAGAACACAUGUUUUCUAAUUUUACACACUUUUAACCAUUUAAAAACUAUUUAAUAAGCAUAAACUUGAAUAAAUCUAUCGGACAUGCAGGAUUCAAUGAGCGUGAAAUUUUUACAACAUCUCAAGCAUACAAUGACUAGUACACCAUAAAAAUUUCAUCAGACUACAAAAACUGUAGCUACGAAAUAAUCAUAGAAAAGCAUAGAUCUAAAGCUAGAGCAAAACUUUUAUACUAAAGUAUAUCAUAUCAAAAGUUUACUAUAUAGAUUUACUCAUGUGGAAUCCAAUAAAAUUAGACUUUCUAUUUUAUGUUUUCUAUAAUUUACUUUUUUCAAAGAUUUAGCCAAAAUAAAUAUAAAAACAACCUAGAAAAAUAGUGAGUAGAUCAUACUCCCUCUAUCUUUGAAAGCUUCAAUUCCUAGAAUAUCAUACUCCCUCUGUCUUUAAAAGCUUCAAUUCCUAGAAUUCGUACUAGUCGUAAACCAAAUGAAUAAUAAUAACAACGAACUUACUUGAAUUAGAAGUUGAAUACUAAAAGACUCUCAGAAGGAGGCUCCAGAGUUAGUGGAACUUGAUCCCGUAGGUACAAGCCGAGGAGGAGCCACCAACAAGCCGAAGCUUUCCCCAACUCUUCCCAACACUCUAUUUCUCUAUUUCUAAAUAAGACUAGCCCUAAUCACUUGUGCACUACAAGACUAAUCUUCUCUCAAUGCUUCUCUUGAUUCUCUAUAUAGGAACUCUUGACGUACAAGCAGAAUUAGGGUUUCAACUUAGAGGGGAAUGCUUUCAUCUAGAGGGCUUGGUAUUUAUAGCCCUGUGGAAUGAACAUGGGCCAUUGGAUCAAACCGACUUAAACAAUGGUGGAGAUCAAUCCUUGAGGUUGGUGGAGGAAUGUGAGAGAAGGCCACGCUAGGUGGGGCCAGGCUGGGUCGGCCGUCCUAGCCCCUAGGUCAGCCGACCUGGCCCUAUGCCAGGUGGGCACCUCUUUGCAGGGUCUCACCUUUGGUAUUCUCUAUAAUGUUCUUCUCUCAAGAUUACGUUGGAAUAUGACUUUUACACCGACGUCCACUAUAUCUUCUCCUAUUUUCCUGUUUAAUCCUUGAAAAACACACAUAUACCAAAACUCGUGGAACUCUAUCAAUUGAACCCCUAUCCUAUACAUAUAUUUCAUUAUGAGCAUUUAUGCAUGUUUAGUUGGUGGUUAAAAGUAACACUUAUCAACCGUCAGUAGUGUCGCGGGUAGUGCAACGCCCUCGUCUUGUCUUGCUUUGUGUGCUCAUCCUUGCCAGCUUCAGGCUAGACAAUGGUAUGAACAAGGUGCAUGCCAUCGAGUCUGAUCUUGAUGUCGGUCGCCCAAGUGAGGUAGUUGCUGCCAUCCACGGCGAGCAUCUCAAAAUCUCUCUUUGCGAUGUCCAACAUGCCCGCACAAUUAAACUACAGGAUUAGUAGAUGUCGAUGCGUAAUUUUUAGUAUUACGUCUUAAUAUAGGUGUAAUCUUCAAGAUUACUUUAUAAUUAAAUAUUAAGAAUUGUAAUAAAAUAAAUAUGUGGAAUUUAAAUACAGCAGCAACAGUAGCAGCAGCAGCAACAACAACAAUAACAAUAACACCCCACUUUCCCCCCUCCCCACCCCGCCCCGCACACGGUAGCGCACGGCAGAACCGCGCCGCCGCCGUUGCCGCCCAGCCCCGUGCCGCCAUGCCGCCCAUGCAGCCGCAACGCUGGGCCGCGCUCGAGGGCCGCCGCCGCUAUAGGGCCGCCGCGCGCCAGCGUGUAGAGCAGGAGGGCCGCCGUCCGACGCCCUCGCCGGCUGCCUUCUGCUGCCGAGGGGAGCAAAGCCGCAGCUUGUGCACGUGCCGGUCUCCACCCCACCGACGCAUCUCAAUUUGCCGAGGGUGUUGGGCUGGAGUUGAAUGCAAUUUUGGGUUCUUAUUUUUUUUAGUCCAGCAUGCGAAUAGAAUUUUAGGGGCAUAAUUUGAGGACCGGGCGUUGUGCAGGAAUAAAGAGAGGAGGAGGUAGCCAUGGGGGCAGGCCGCGCCCCUUGCCAAUGGCCGUGCCUGCGCCGACGGCUGUGGCCGCUCUAGGGCCGCGCGCCGCGUCGGGGCUUGCCCGUGCCCUGCGUUCAGUAAUAUAAUGCAGCAUGUACAUGCUCAAUAUUGCUUAUCUGGACCAUCCAAAUGUGCUCUGAGAUUCGUGCUGCUGCACUUCUUCUAACUGUGUUCACACUUCUCCCUAUUGUUUUACACAUAUUCAACAGUAUAGAUAAGCAAUGUCCAGCAUGUAGACCUCAUCUGUGCAGGGGCCAGCGCCGGCGGCCGUGCCGGGCCGCGCCGAGGGCCCGCUGUGGCAGUAUGUGCCCGGUUGCGUCAGGGCGCCAUGGUAGCUGUCCGCACGAAAUAUCAAGCCACGAAAUCCCAAAAACACCCUCGCACGGGUAGCUGUCCGCGAAACCGCGACUCCGUCCCUUCUCCCACGUGUUCCUCGCCGCCGCCGAACUCCAACGCGUCACGCCUCUUGCCUCCCUCCACGAAGAAGCGGAGCACACGCCACCAGCUCCACGGAAUCCGACGGCCUCGCCCUCCUCGUCUCCUCCUGUGGACUGGAGCGCCGCCGGGUAGAGAUCUCUCCCACAUCCGCGCCUCAGCCAAUUCCUCCUACCUCCGGUAAGGCGGGCUCUAUUAUGGCCACGAAUUUUUAAGUCUAAUUCUUUGUUACGACCUUUGCUUGUUCGACAUAUGGUACUAGGUGAUUUUGGUUUUACUAAUCGAAUAGUGGGUUACAGAGUUGGUUGGUGACCGUGUCCACGCUGGUAUCACAGUUUGCAGUUCAGUUAUGUUAGUAUCUUUGAUUUGUUGGCCAGGCAUAUUUCAGCUCCUUGCCAUCCCAUGAUCGAAUACUAUUGCACGGGUGGCCAUUUGCUACCUUCACAUGUAUGCUCUGCCCUCGCUCAUCUCAUAGUUUUGCUCUAAUAUGGAACAAAAACAAAUGACGCCUUUGAUUUCUUUGUGGUGCUUAGUUUGGUACUUCAGCUCCCGUAUAGGUUCGGUCACCAAAUGUCAGCUUUGAAUCCUGUAUGCAUUGAGCCAUUGCUAUUUAAUACGUCUUUGCUCGCUCGUGAAUUCUGGUUAUUCCUCCAGUGUAAAGUGUGGCUUAGAAAUGCUUACCCCCUAGUCUGAUGAGACUUUGUUUGAUGAUUGGUGGGACGGAAGUUCAAAUGCAGUGGCUGUUCACUUAAGAAAGGGACUCAACUCCAUCAUUAUUCUAGGAGCGUGGAAUAUUCGUAAUUGUUGUGUGUUUGAUGCUGAAUCUCCAAACCUAGCUACAGCUCUGUUGCUCGCUAGUGAGGGGCUUCUUUAUUGGAGCUUGGCAGGGGCACAGGUAUCAAUAAUCUCAUUUCCUAGGGGCUGAAUAUGGAGUUAAUUUUGGGUUGAGGUCACCUACUUUGUGUGUCAAGGGCUAGUUUGUUUAAUUUGGACAUAGUGGUGUUAGUGGUUGUGCCUUGUAUGUGUUCUUAUCCAUUUUUUCUUCUUAAUACAAUGAUACCCAGCUCUCUUGCGUGUUCGAGAAAAAAAAUUGAUAUUUAAUACAUUGGUAACUAGUAUUAUCAGCAUCAGGCUUGGCGUAAAAAAUUUGUUUCUUGCAACCUAGCUUAUUCGUUUGUGUACCACUGCCAUAUGGGACAGCAGGAAUAGGACAUGAUCUAUGGUAGGUUAUUUUGCCUUCACUUUAGGUGUGCUAUUCUAAUAGUGACCAAUCCUGUCCAUGCUGACAUGUUGUUAUCGCAGUUCAGUUAUGUUAUUAUCUUUGAUUUGUUUGUUAGGCAUAAUUCUGCUCCUUGCUAUCCCAUGAUCAAAUACUAGUGCACGGGUGGCCAUUUGCUACCUUCACAUGUAUCCUCUGCCCCCCUGCCCGCUGAUCUCACAGUUUUAAUGGUGCCUUUGAUUUUUUUGUGGUCCUUAAUUAGUUUGUACUUUGUACUUCAGCUCCCGAAGGUUCAGUCACGAAAUGUGGAUGGGCUUUAAAUCCUGUGUAUGCAUUGAUAUUUAAAUUAAUAUGUUGGUAACGAGUGUAUCAGAGCUAUCUGCACCCCUGUUUGCUACAGCUAAUACGUCUGCUUUGCUAUCAUUUCUACAGAGAAUGGUGAUCCUCUGUCCAGGGUGUGUUGCUCCAUCAGUUCACCGUCCAUCAGUCACCGUAAUUUUCUGCCCAGAUGGUUGCUGCUGAACAAUAGCUCGAGAAUGUAUUGCCAUGUAUUUCUAGACAGAAUGAAACCAAAAGGACAAAACAAACAUCAGAGGAUGCCUUGCUUCUCCAAGGGGUCUUCCUUUCAAGGUACUGUCUGAUCAGACUUUUGAUGUUGUCGCUCCAAGCUUAUUUCUUUGCCCUGGUAAACAAUGUAUUUCUAUGUGAUUGUUCUUUGUAAUAUACCCAUCAAUAUAGUAUGCAUUCAUAUUGCGUAGUUGUAUGCAACGGUUUCUGCUUCCACAAGGAAUCAUAUUAAUGUUUCACUUACCGGCUGCAAUGUAGUUGUAGUUUGUUUUCUCCUAUUUAAUUUCUCAUUUUAUUUUACUAUUGACACCAUGAAAGCUCUGUUUGUUGGUUGUGAAAAGUUACCAUUGUAUCCACACCAUUCAGUGACCAACUGACCAUUGUUCCUUCAACUCUGCAGAUCUGGUGCCCGCUGUAAAGCCUUCACGCCUUCUUCCAGCAGAGGAACUAAAGACAUAUCCCAAUACUGUUCCUGAGGAGAUAUUUAACACAAUCAUACUAGAUGACGCUGAUUCGUUCUAUAUGCUGGAGCUUAGCACAAGUAGAGAAUUUAGUUCAUCUUUGGAGAAAAAUUCUGCAAUCUUAAUCUGCUUGAUUGAUGUUGAUGGUGACUCCUUUCUACAAAGAGUACCGGCAAUCUAUUUGGGUCAACCUACACUUGGAAUUAAGACAGCGCAACUGAUACCCAUCCAAAGUGGUUCAGUUGAUGUUGUCACUUUCAAGGCCUCAAAACUGAAAAGGAUUAAAGAAGUCUGGAUCGGUCUAGAAUCAGGUACAUCCCAUUUCAUGUUCUUUGCAAAUAUAAUGUAAUGGCAGUAUGUUCACCUGAUGAGUGUUUUCUAUCCUUUGUUUAUCAAUCUUAUCCUUGAAGGUCAGGUUCAUGGAGAUUAGAUGGUUUGAGCUUGAAAGUAAUACAUGGACCGGUUGAUCCACCUAAAGAAAUUAAUGGAACUCCUGAACAGAAGUUCAAUGGUUUGCAGUACACUUUUGAGAAAAUAAAUGAGCUUCUUGGAGAUGAUGGAGCUUCAGUAGCUGAAGCAAGGCCUGUGGCUGUCACUGACCUCUCAGGAGUCGGCCUUUCCAAUCUUCAAGAAGGGUUGUUAUCCUCAGAAAGCAAAGCUUCAAGCGUUAAGGAACUAAGAGAGGAUGGGUUGAGAGAGUAUGCUGACCUCAAACAAUCUCUGCUGCUCUAUGAUGCAUCUAUAGUGAUCACUGGCUUCUCCGCCUUCACCUUGGCUUCCAAUGAUAGCGCCGCCUAUUCGUUCCUGAUAGGUGGCAUUGGUGGGUUCCUCUAUCUGUUGCUGCUCCAAAGAUCAGUUGAUGGUUUGCCUGUGAUCACUUCACCUUCAGAAGCUGGCAGUGCACAGCCCUCGGUAACAGGUUUCAGUGGUGUAAGGAGGCCAUGGUUGAUACUAUCACUAGUACUGGUUGCAGGCGCAGUUGCACUGAAGUAUUGUGCUGGAGGUGACAGCUUUGAACUCACACCGACGGAGCUCUUUGUUGGCACCGCAGGGUUCCUAGCAAACAAGGUUGUUGUUCUUCUUGCAGCAUUCAUGCCUAUGCUAAGUGACUCGAAGAGUGAAGAUGGAUCUGGGGACAUCAAUUAACUGGACUUUAAAAAUAGGUUCGUACUAGUUUCAUAUAGAAGCUCUAUAUUCAAGAUCUGAAGGUAGUCUCAUAUAGAAGCUCUAUAUUCAAGAUCUGAAAGCAAUUAGCUGAUGUGCAAAGGGCAAAUCCUAGUCUCUGAACCAGAAAACUGAACCACGUCGCUAGAUCAUGAUGGUAACUGAGUCCAAACUUCAAUCACCGCAGCAGGUCGCAGGCAUGGUAUCUUUGCAAGGGUUCAAUUCACAGCAAGGGUUCUAGUGUUGUGGUACUUAGAAGUCAGAAACUUGAGUUGUAGUACUCAGAAAUCAGACACUCAAAUGUUAAGAUGAUCUACAGACUACAGGAACAUGACUACACCAGGACCUCCAGCUCCAGAAACGAGCUCGGAAAACAUGAUGAUUGUACGAGAACAAUGCCCCCAUUGUUGUAUGUGAAUAUGACAUUUGUGAGGUAAAUAUACAGUAACAACUAUCAAAACAAAAUGCUUGGCGUUGCUCCAAAUCAGCAUCAUGUAAGAAAAUUUCUGCACUGAAGAUUGUUAGCUUCACUCAACACAACAAUAGUAAUACUUAUUAUCAACUAUUCAACUAUCAAGGUCCGCUGAACAGUAAUUAUUUUUUAAACUUAUUAUCAUAUAUAAAGGUCUGAUGAAGUGAGCACCAUUUCCUUAG